AUGAAAGUUAUAUUUGUUUUUUUGUGUAGUAAUUUUUUUUGUUAUUUGUGAAUAUGUGUAAUAUUAAUGGAAUUAUUGGUGAAAAAUAGUAUAUUGGUCGAAAUAUGAAAUGCUAGUUUCUUUGUCUGUUUCUGAUUUGUAAAGUAAUGUUUGUAUUUUUUUUGACAUUUAUAGUAUGAAAGGUGUACUAUUUUGAUAUUAAAUAUUUUUAUUUUAUUUUUUAACGACAUAUUUUUUUUGGAAUUGUUUUUAAUGAACAUUAAUUUUCCAUAUUAGGUAAUACCAUCGACAGUUGAUAUGUAUGUUCUUGUUGAAGGACCAAAGAAGUACAUAGUAAAUUUAAAUAAAAGGUGUGUAGUUACGGGAGAUUUCACCAUUAUGAAAUACCACGUGAUCAUGUAAUUGCAGUUCUUAGAUACAAGAAACUGCACGGAACAUAUUUCUAUUCUGUCUUUAGUCGCCUGAAGAAUUUCAGAGGUGCAUAUGUCAUCCCUGUUGAACCUAUCCCCUGCGAGAGUAUGUGAGAUAUACCCAAUUAUAUUUCAAAUCCUAAAUUGAUGGCACCCGAUCCAAGUAGAUCAAUUAGAAAAUUGCAUGUUGAACGUUUGAAGAAGUUUGCUGAUGUGAAAUUCAAAAGGUCAAAGGUUACUGGUAGUAAAUGUCGUCAAGUUGGAUAUAACAGGAAGACAUGUUAAAAUUAUCCUGUUAAAAAAAUGAUUUUAUGAUUUUUACUUUUUGUUGCAUAACAUGUUUUGUUUUAUGGAAUGAAUUUGGUAUAAUUAAUAUUUUAGUAGUUGUGGUUUCUUAAUAUUAUCCAUAUAAAUAAUACUGAAACACAUUUUGUGUCCGUUUUCAAAUUUUAUUCGUAUACUAAUAUAUAGUUAAACAAGAAUCGUACAUAAUUCAUACAAAAAACAUAUAUAUGGAACAACUUUUUAACAUAUAAUUGUACAGUAAAACUCUUGUUAAAAUAGUUCAUACAUAGAUCAUACAUAGUUCGUACAAAGUUCAUACAUAUGGAUCAAAAAAUAUAUGAUAGUUGUCAUACUAAAACGAUAAUAAAUCAAAAAUGUGAUAUCAUGUUCAUACUAGUAGUAAUCAGACUUCAUACAUAUUUCAUCGAGACAGUAAUCAGACUUCAUACAUAAUCAAUAAUGGAAGAAAGAUUUAUACAAAAAAGCCAACAAACUAGAAAUGUAAUGUCAUGCCCAUACAAUUAGUAAUCAGACUUCAUAGAAAAAAGUCAACAAAUUAAAAAUGUAAUGUCAUGCCUAUACAAUUAGUAAUCAGACUUCAUACAAAAAAACCAACAAAUUAAAAAUGUAAUGUCAUGCCCAUACAAUUAGUAAUCAGAUUUCAUAUACACAUCAAUUUAUAUAUCAAUUCAAACAUCAUUCAAACACUAGUAAUAUGAUUAAUAUCAUAUGAAUUUUGUGUGGAUUGAUGUAUUAGUUCGUAUGACUUGUGUAUAAAUGUUGUAUGAAUUGAUAUAUACAUUGAUGUAUUACUGUUGUAUGAUUUGUGUAUGAAAGUACCUUAGAAUUUCAUUUCAUGCUUUGUGUAUGAAUUGAUUUGGUUGUCUAUUUAUAUGACAGCGUUUGGAUUAUGUUUUAAUUGAUAUAUAAAUUGAUGUAUGUAUGAAGUCUGAUUACUAAUUGUAUGGGCAUGACAUUACAUUUCUAUUUUGUUGGCUUUUUUGUAUGAAUCUUUCUUCAAUUAUUGAUUAUGUAUGAAGUCUGAUUACUACUAGUAUGAACAUAAUAUCACAUUUUUGAUUUAUUAUCAUUUUAAUAUGACAAGUAUCAUAUAUUUUUUGAUCCAUAUGUAUGAACUUUGUGCGAACUAUCUAUGAUCUAUGUAUGAACUAUUCUAACAGGAGUUUUAUUGAACAAUUAUAUGUUUAAAAAGUUGUUUCAUAUAUAUAUUUUGUGUAUUAACUAUGUAUGAUUCUUAUUUAACUAUAUAUUAGUAUAGAAAUAAAAUUUGAAAAUGGACACAAAAUGUGUUUCAAUAUUAUUUAUAGGUGGACAAUAUUAAGAAAUCAUAAUUACUCAAAUAUUAAUUAUACCAUUUCUAUUCCAUAAAACAAAACAUGUUGUGUAACAAAAAGUAAAAAUCAUGAAAUUAUUUUUUAACAGGAUAAUUUGAACAUGUCUUCCUGUUAUGUCCAACUUGAAACCAUCUACUACAAGUAACCUUUGACCUUUUGAAUUUCACAUCAGCAAACUCCUUCCAACGUUCAACAUGCGAUUUUCUAACUGAUUUACUUGGAUCGGAUGCUCAUUAAAAACAGUUCCAAAAAAAUAUGCCAUUAAAAAUAAAAUAAAAAUCUUUAAUUAUCGAAGUAAUACACAUUUCAUAUUAUAAAUGUCAAAAUAAAUAAUAUAAACAUUACUUUACAAAUAAAAAAACAGACAAACAAACUAGCGUUUCAUAUUUCAUACCAUAUUAAUAUGUAAUUUAGACAACUAACAUCAUGUUGACCAAUUUUAUACGAUUUUUUCACUUACAAUUUCAUUAAUAUUACACACAUCCACAAAUAACAAAAAAAAUUACCAAACAAAAAAAUAAAUAUCAUACAAUCUUAUAACACUCUUAAUACAAUGAAUUAACAUAGAUUACUAAAAACAAAUCAGAAUACUAUAACAAAUACCAACAUGACGAAUCUCAUCUGCCACCAUGUUUAAUUAAUAAUGAUAAGUUAUUGUCCAUCAAAAUAAAUCACAAUUUUUUCACAUGAAAAAAACUCAAUAAAAAAAAGGAGUAAAAAUUCUGCAAACAGGAGAGUGAAAAAUGUGAUAGAGUAAAAAAAAGUAAAAAAUCAUGUUUUAAUUUGAUUUAAAUUAGUUUGAGCAUUUUAAGGAAACUGAAUAAUUUAAAUCUUUUUUGAAUUCCUUAAUAUGUGCUAAUUUAUUAAUUAUCCAUUUUUAAUUAAAAUUAAUUCAAAUGCCACAAUUGUGCUACUUACCAAUUAAUACAUAAAUGUGGUUUACCUUUUAUUUUAUUUAAAAAUAAUAUAAAAUUUAAAUGUAAAAAUAAAAAUAAUUAUUUAAACUUAUUAAUUAGUAUUUAAAUAAUUACUUAUAGUUGGUUUUUAAAAUAUUUGGGGAAGAUGAAUUUUUAUUUUUUUAAAUAUAGUGUGUGACGGUUUUUAAAAAAAGCUGGUAUUGAUUUAGAUAGUGGUGGGUAGUUAUUAUAGAAUGAUAAACUCCCUAUUAUUUUGUAAUUUUUUUAAAAAUGUAACUAUAUAAUGUUUAAUUUAAUUAAUAAUAGUUAAAGAGUUUUGUUUAAAAAAUAUAACUUAAAAAAAUAAUGUAAUCAAAUAAUUUAAUUUAAAAAAAAGGUAACUUAAAAAAUCAAUUUAAUUAAAUAGAUUGAUUUAAAAAAGGUAACUGAAUAAUAAAUGUAAUUAUUUAAAUAAAUUAAUUAUUAUUUAAAUAAUUAAUGAGAAUAAUAUAUUUUUUCUUGAUAUGCUAUAACUUCAUAAUAAUAUGUUAUAAAUAGUUUAUCAUCAAAAAGUAUGUUUAUAACUUGAUAUUUAUCAUCUGAAAUGUGUGUGGAGUGUUAUUUUUAUUUUUCAAAGAUAUCUCUUUACUUCUAUCAACUUGUAUUUCGAAUUUGUCCCCCUACGCGUGUUUUGACCUGUAUAUCGAUGUAUAAAACGAGUAUAACAACCCAUUUCCAAGCUUUAGAGGACCUGCAAUUAAAUUUCCAGCAAUGUAUUUGUUGUUUUCAAACUGUGCCAGAUUUUCAGGGGGGUUUACGACUCGAAGAGGAAUAUUUUGAGCCUUUAUGGCUCGAUGAGAAAAUGCAACGAGAUGGAUUAAAAUCCAAGAGGACUCGAGGAGAGUUUCACAUACAACAAAACAAAGGAGAGAUGUUAGAAAUCGAAAAUAAUUUUCACCCAUACACAAUAUAAUGAUUAACAAUAAAUGGAAAGCAUUAAAGAGGAAAUGUAUUUUUCACCAACACAUAAUCUAGUAGCUAACUUAAGCGGAAGACAUACAUGAAUCAUAUGGUUUCAAACAGAGGGACCUCUUGACAUUGUAUGCCUAUCAUACACUUAAAGAAGAGAAAUCAAAGUAAUCGCUGAAGUUGGGAUAGGCAGAUUCAUUCAACCAUUCUUCCUAACUUAAUAAAAAAACAAAGAGUAUCAAUAUUAACUACAUGGGAACUAAAGAAAGAAACCAGCAGCAGGGUCAUUGGCAAACAAGAUGAGAAUCUGACCAAACUUAUAUAUUUGAAAAACCAAACAGAAACAGAAGAGUUGAUUGCAAUACCAAACAAAUUACAUGUUACACUGCCUACAUUAGUUCAUUCCGGCCUAAACGAAUAACUCGAGAUGAGAAAUGAAUGAAAAUUUUAGACGAGAUGAACAAACAAGGGAAUGACAUAUUUUGAUCAUACGGAAGAAUGCAAAAGAAACAACCCAUAAAACGACUCAUUAUAAAUCGCAAUGCAGCAAGCAGGGUCAUAACAUUUUCUGAACAUGCAGCCUAGGCAGUAUACGACAAAACACUUAAACGAUCAUGUAAGUUAAAAACAUCCACGCAAGGUAGUCAAGGUGGAUCAAAAAAAAGAUGAGCAUUUAUCGCACCAAACUUAACAACUACGGAAAAAUGGAAAGCAAACUAUAUGUGCGAACAAUGAAUGAAGGAAAGAUCGAUCAACGUAAUUUAUAUGCUUCGAAAAUUUCCAAGGAACUAAAUAACAUAAAAAAUAAAUACCAAAGUAAUAUUCAUAAAACUAAGACCAGUAGACCCAUUAAUCCAUUCGAAAGCUUUAAAGAUGCUCAACAAAAUGAAAUAAUAAUCUCAAACAAGUUAAAACUUUCAAUAACCUACAAAGAAGACUUAAAACUACUAACCAUUACACUCGAAAUGCAGAGGACGUGUAGACAUAGGAAUCGAACAAACAACAAAAGACAUCAUUCCAGCCAUCCUAACAAAUAUAAUUGAACGAGGACAAAGAACAAGAAGGAAACAAACUUUGGAGAUUAUAAUCAAAGGGAAAAACUAAACUAUUAAUGAAAGGCAUUCUAGACAUAAAUCACAUAAAAGUCAUGUUCUAUGCCUCAACAAUUGAAAUAUAUCAACUCGGACAAAAAUGACCAAGCGUCAAUAGUAAACCAUAGAAGAAAGAAGCAUUCGAGCGAGGAAAAACAAGAGUCAACAGUAAACUUCUGAUUACAAACCAAAUGCCAGCUAAAACGAGUAAAGGUCAACAUGAAGUUACCUUUUCGGGGGCAGCGAACAGGAUGAAAGAGCUAAGCAAUGACGACUUCGACCACACGAGUCCCGACUAGAGAAAAGUUUGACAAAUUCAGGCAGAAAAAAAAUUGAAAGCUAUCUCUCCUCUGUUUCUUUUCUUUUUUCUUGAAGAGUAUAUAGUAUGGGUUUUAGCUAAUUUUUUGUUUAAAAAAAUUCUCUCUGUUUUGUCACUCAACCCCCAAAAAACCUCCUUCAAUUGAGAAAGAAGAGAGGUUAAAAUAGGAGAAGAUGAGGAAAAAUUAGGGGGGGAAACCGACAGAAAAAAAAAGCCCCCCCCCCAACCCCAAUUUGAAAAUUUUUUAAUCCCCUCUAAAAGGAUAAGGUCAGCCUGCUAUCAAUUGUACCUCUCCCAACGGACAGAGAACGGAGGCCGCUCGAUUUCUGAACAAAGGACGAAGGAGAAGUGAGAUAGCAACACUUGGCCAAUUCUAGUAUGAGUGGGGGUCAGAUUUGGGUUUGGGUCGCUGAGUUGCUUCUUGAAAUACUGGACUUCGACUUUGCUGGGUUCCAAAUUGGGAAGAAGAAGAACGAUGCAGGGUUUGUUUACACUGGGUCUUUGGAGAAUGGGUAUUGUAUGUGGGCUGGGUAAUCUAGAAAAUGAAUGGGCUGGAGGAAAGAAAAUAAAGGCCCAAAUUUGGUUUUAAGACAAGCUAAAUAAAAUAUUAAAUUAGCCAAAUCGAAUUUAACUUGCGAAUUCGACUAAAACUAAAAUAAUAUUAAUAUUUAUUAAUAAACGAGCCUCUUAAUCUUAACAAAACAUAAUCAAAC
rnacentral:lncRNA from 1 species